rnacentral:lncRNA from 1 species
AAAAUCUAACAAAAGUUUAACGUUAGUCCAAUCUUGAUUAGUUAACAUGUCAUUAUCUUCCUCUCCACAAUCCCGAGAAUUAUAAGUAGCGUUAAUUGGGUUUCUAUAUUCGUACGCCACUACUAAACUUUCGUACAGGUAGUUCCACCUAGUCGGACAAGGUUUAGGUACCUUUCUUUCUCUAAGGCCAUAUUGGUCACAGUUUUUAAAAUAUUCUCUAAGUCUACUUCUACGGUUUGAAUAAAAAAGCCAAUUAAGAGCGAAU